AAAAAUAAAUUGUUAACGCAGAACAUUUUUUGUAAAUUUUUAAAUGUGCGAAAAUAGUAGUAGAUACAUAGACGUAUUAUAAUAUUAGGUGUCAUACUUCAAUUUCUCUCUAAUUGGUGGAUCAUAUGAAUUCCUUGCAAUGGGCUUAAGUCAGACAUUUUUACAAUAAUUUAAGUUCGUAUUAUAUGUUUGUAAUUUAGAUCUUUGGGUGAACAGUCCAACUUGGGAGAAUGAUAUUAAAAUAUACACUAAUAAUCAACAAACGGCCUCUGGAGAAUAUUUUGAUAAAUUUAUAUCAAAACAAAAAGACAAAAUCAUCAAUGAGGAGCCGCUAAUUACCCCAAUACAAUUUUGUGUUUCCUUUAGCAGUUCUUAUACUGGAUAGUAAUAAUUAAUACAAAAAAAUAUUUUUAUUUCUUAUUAUAUACUUGCACUUUUAAAACUAUGAUGGUCUAAUGUAAGAAAUUGUAUUCUCUAUUAGAUAGAAUGAUUUUAUAUUUUAUAAUAUUUAUGAUUUAUAUAACCUUAUUAUUAGAUAUAUUUAUA